GAUGAAGAACGUAGCGAAAUGCGAUAAGUAAUGUGAAUUGCAGAAUUCAGUGAAUCAUCGAAUCUUUGAACGCACAUUGCCCCCGCCAGUAUUCUGGCGGGCAUGCCUGUUCGAGCGUCAUUUCAACCCUCAAGCCCCCGGGCUUGGUGUUGGGGAUCGGCGUGCCCUCGCGGCGCGCCGUCCCCUAAAUCUAGUGGCGGUCUCGCUGUAGCUUCCUCUGCGUAGUAGCAACACUCGCACUGGAUCGCAGCGCGGCCACGCCGUUAAACCCCCCACUUCUGAAAGUUUGACCUCGGAUCAGGUAGGAAUACCCGCUGAACUUAAGCAUAUCAAUAAGCGGAGGA
rnacentral:misc_RNA from 1 species